rnacentral:rRNA from 1 species
UACAGAGGUGGCAAGCGUUGUUCGGAAUUACUGGGCGUAAAGGGCUCGUAGGCGGCCAACUAAGUCAGACGUGAAAUCCCUCGGCUUAACCGGGGAACUGCAUCUGAUACUGGAUGGCUUGAGAUUGGGAGAGGGAUGCGGAAUUCCAGGUGUAGCGGUGAAAUGCGUAGAUAUCUGGAGGAACACCGGUGGCGAAGGCGGCAUCCUGGACCAACACUGACGCUGAGGAGCGAAAGCCAGGGGAGCAAACAGG